CAGCUCGUGUCGUGAGAUGUUGGGUUAAGUCCCGCAACGAGCGCAACCCUGACCUUAGUUGCCAGCAUUCAGUUGGGCACUCUAAGGUGACUGCCGGCUAAAGUCGGAGAAGUGGGGAUGACGUCAAAUCAUCAUGCCCCUUAUGACCUGGGCUACACACGUGCUACAAUGGGCGGUACAAAGGGUCGCGAACCCGCGAGGGGGAGCCAAUCCCAAAAAGCCGCUCUCAGUUCGGAUUGCAGGCUGCAACUCGCCUGCAUGAAGCCGGAAUCGCUAGUAAUCGCGGAUCAGCAUGCCGCGGUCGAAUACGUUCCCGGGCCUU
rnacentral:rRNA from 1 species